GACGAACGCUGGCGGCGUGCUUAACACAUGCAAGUCGAACGGAAAGGCCUGCUUUCCCUUGUGGAUUGCGGGUACUCGAGUGGCGAACGGGUGAGUAACACGUGAGGGAUCUGCCCCCAACUUGGGUAUAAGCCUGGGAAACUGGGUCUAAUUCCCGAUAGGACUGCAGGGUGGUGCCUGUGGUGGAAAACGAUUUUCUAGUGGUUGGGGAUGAGCUCGCGGCCUAUCAGCUUGUUGGUGGGGUAAUGGCCUACCAAGGCGGCGACGGGUAGCCGGCCUGAGAGGGUGGACGGCCACAUUGGGACUGAGCUACGGCCCAGACUCCUACGGGAGGCAGCAGUGGGGAAUAUUGCACAAUGGGCGGAAGCCUGAUGCAGCGACGCCGCGUGGGGGAUGACGGCCUUCGGGUUGUAAACUCCUUUCGACCGCGAGGAAGCCACCUGGUUGGAAGGGUGGUGACGGUAGUGGUAGAAGAAGCACCGGCUAACUACGUG
rnacentral:rRNA from 1 species